CGUGCGGUACAUUUUGGGGUUGUAUUUGGGUUUCGGUUGUUUGCAUGGCUCUUUAGCCGUGUAGGUGGCUGUUUCCUAUUGUGGCUUCGGGGAUGUUUCGUAAAAGGUGCAUGAGUGGUGUUUGGUUUGAUACGGGUGGUUGGCUCCCUGCUUGAGCAGGCACAUCCAUGCGUACAUUCCUUUUCAGUUGUGCGGCAAGGCUUGUAUCGUCUUGAUCGUAUAUGUGGGUUUCCUGUGUUGCAUACCUGAUCAACGGCAUCGUUUUGAUCAAAAAUGUACAUUUUUCGUCAGGCGUUGCACCCGCAACGUUGGAUGAACCACGUAGCGUCCUUUUUGAUCCAUAUAGUUGAUGAGCAUUCGUUGAUUGUAUGGCUUGUUGAGGGUGGCUUGGUCUCUUGGAUUUGGAAGCUAAAGUGGGCAUGGGUUAUUAUGAUCCUUUUAUUGUCCUUGUUGAGUGUUCUCGCUUCUCUUAAACGAUCGCCUUUCACGUAUGGCACGUCCCAGCGUGUUUGGCUACGUCGAAGAGGAAUGUUACCUGGUUGAUCCU
rnacentral:misc_RNA from 1 species